AUUGAACGCUGGCGGCAGGCCUAACACAUGCAAGUCGAGCGGAUGAGUGGAGCUUGCUCCAUGAUUCAGCGGCGGACGGGUGAGUAAUGCCUAGGAAUCUGCCUGGUAGUGGGGGACAACGUUUCGAAAGGAACGCUAAUACCGCAUACGUCCUACGGGAGAAAGCAGGGGACCUUCGGGCCUUGCGCUAUCAGAUGAGCCUAGGUCGGAUUAGCUAGUAGGUGAGGUAAUGGCUCACCUAGGCGACGAUCCGUAACUGGUCUGAGAGGAUGAUCAGUCACACUGGAACUGAGACACGGUCCAGACUCCUACGGAGGCAGCAGUGGGGAAUAAUUGGACAAUGGGCGAAAGACCUGAUCCAGCCAUGCCGCGUGUGUGAAGAAGGUCUUCGGAUUGUAAAGCACUUUAAGUUGGGAGGAAGGGUAGUAACCUAAUACGUUGCUACUUUGACGUUACCGACAGAAUAAGCACCGGCUAACUUCGUGCCAG
rnacentral:rRNA from 1 species